rnacentral:lncRNA from 1 species
CAGCAGUUAAACCUGGUCUAUUUAUGCCGAAGCCCAAGUGCAGGUGCUCGGAGGAGGCUCAAGGGCAGAAGAAUUAGUCAGGGCUCAGAUCUUCCGGAUCGCUACUGUAUGGGGACCAUAACAUCACUGUAAGGCCCCUGUGCUGAGCCACAAACCCCACUUGGAACAAAGAAAACUCCCAGAGAGAGUGGAGCUGUGAGGAGGGAUAGAUAUUAUGCUGUGGUGCAGCCAGACAAGCCCCACCUUGUUGUGCCUCCAGAAGAAGCACAUUCUUGGCCUGGGUGGCAACAAUAACAUCUGGAUGGAAAUAUCAAGUGGUAUCAGGCUUCCAGACCACCAUUCAUGAAAGGAGCUAACCUUACAUAUGCUUGAUCAAAUGAUGAAAAGCUUCAGCCAGAAACAGUUUUGCCUGGGUUCUCAAUCUUCCCUGAGCUCUUAAAUUCUACCCAGUGAGC